AUUGAACGCUGGCGGCAUGCUUUACACAUGCAAGUCGAACGGCAGCGCGGGCUUCGGCCUGGCGGCGAGUGGCGAACGGGUGAGUAAUGCAUCGGAACGUGCCCAGUAGUGGGGGAUAGCCCGGCGAAAGCCGGAUUAAUACCGCAUACGACCUGAGGGUGAAAGCGGGGGACCGAAAGGCCUCGCGCUAUUGGAGCGGCCGAUGUCGGAUUAGCUAGUUGGUGGGGUAAAGGCUUACCAAGGCGACGAUCCGUAGCUGGUCUGAGAGGACGACCAGCCACACUGGGACUGAGACACGGCCCAGACUCCUACGGGAGGCAGCAGUGGGGAAUUUUGGACAAUGGGGGCAACCCUGAUCCAGCCAUGCCGCGUGCGGGAAGAAGGCCUUCGGGUUGUAAACCGCUUUUGUUCGGGAAGAAAUCCUCUGGGCUAAUACCCCGGGGGGAUGACGGUACCGGAAGAAUAAUCACCGGCUAACUACGUG
rnacentral:rRNA from 1 species